AGACCAUCCCGAGCGGCCGAGAGAUCUGGCUCGUCGACGCCGCAGCAACCUUCGGAUGCGAUCCGCCCCCUCCGGCGGAUCCUUCAGAAAAGGUGCUACCGCCAGGACCGAUGGGAG
rnacentral:ncRNA from 2 species